rnacentral:rRNA from 1 species
AUGAACGCUGGCGGCAUGCCUAAUACAUGCAAGUCGAGCGAACGGACGAGAAGCUUGCUUCUCUGAUGUUAGCGGCGGACGGGUGAGUAACACGUGGAUAACCUACCUAUAAGACUGGGAUAACUUCGGGAAACCGGAGCUAAUACCGGAUAAUAUUUUGAACCGCAUGGUUCAAAAGUGAAAGACGGUCUUGCUGUCACUUAUAGAUGGAUCCGCGCUGCAUUAGCUAGUUGGUAAGGUAACGGCUUACCAAGGCAACGAUGCAUAGCCGACCUGAGAGGGUGAUCGGCCACACUGGAACUGAGACACGGUCCAGACUCCUACGGGAGGCAGCAGUAGGGAAUCUUCCGCAAUGGGCGAAAGCCUGACGGAGCAACGCCGCGUGAGUGAUGAAGGUCUUCGGAUCGUAAAACUCUGUUAUUAGGGAAGAACAUAUGUGUAAGUAACUGUGCACAUCUUGACGGUACCUAAUCAGAAAGCCACGGCUAACUACGUG